rnacentral:rRNA from 1 species
GGUUUGAUUCUGGCUCAGAUUGAACGCUGGCGGGAUGCUUUACACAUGCAAGUCGAACGGGCAGCACGGACUUCGGUCUGCGGCGAGUAUGAAUCGGCGGAGGAAGGAAUGGGUCGUGCCAUAGUGGGGGAUAAAUUCACGUUGAAAGCGGCAGCUAAUACCAUUUCGCAUACGUUCUUCGUGGUGCGGGGACCUUCGCCUCGCACCAUUAGAGCGGCCGACACUGAUUAGCUAGUUGGUGGGGCAACUGUCGUACCUGGCGCGACGAUCCGUAGCUGGCUCGAGAGGACGACCAGCCACACUGGGACUGAGAUACGGCCCAGACUCUUACGGAGGCAGUGAAAGCGGGGAAUUCUGGACAAUGGGGGAAACCUGAUCCAGCCGCAUCUCGCGUGCGAUGAAGGCCUUCGGGUUGUAAAGCACUUUUGGCAGGAAAAGAAACGGCACGGGAUAAUACCCGUGCAACUGACGGUACUCUGCAGAAUACACCGGCUAACUACGUGCCAGCAGCCGCGGUAAUGUAGGUGCGGGUGCCAGGACUGAAUUACUGGCGCGGAAGCGUGCGUAGGCGGUUCGGAAAGAAAGAUGUGAAACUUCAGAGCUUAACUUUGAACUGCAUUUUUAACUACCGAGCUAGGAGAAGUCAGAGGGAGGUGGAAUUCCGCGUAGCAGUGAAAUGCGUAGAUAUGCGGAGGAACACCGAUGGCGAAGGCAGCCUCCUGCAUAACACUGACGCUCAUGCACGAAAGCGUGGGGAGCAAACAGGAUUAGAUACCCUGGUAGUCCACGCCCUAAACGAUGUCAACUAGCUGUUGGGGCCUUCGGGCCUUGGUAGCGCAGCUAACGCGGUGAAGUUGACCGCCUGGGGAGUACGGUCGCAAGAUUAAAACUCAAAGGAAUUGACGGGGACCCGCACAAGCGGUGGAUGAUGUGGUUUCAAUCUGAUGCAACGCGAAAAACCUUACCUACCCUUGACAUGUCUGGAAUCCCGAAGAGAUUUGGGAGUGCUCGCAUGAGAACUCGGAAACAGGUGCUGCAUGGCUGUCGUCAGUCAGCGUGAGAUGUUGGGUUAAGUCCUCGCAACGAGCGCAACCCUUGUCAUUAGUUGCGCCACAGUGCAAGGCACUUUAAGGAGACUGCUGCGACGCAAACCGGAGGAAGGGGGAUGACGUCAUGCCCAUGGCCCUUAUGGGUAGGGCUUCACACGUCAUGCCAAUGGUCGGGACAGAGGGUCGCCAAAUCCGCGAGGGGAGCCAAUCCCAGAAACCCGAUCGUCUGAUCGCAGUCUGCAACUCGACUGCGUGAAGUCGGAAUCGCUAGUAAUCGCGGAUCAGCAUGUCGCGGUGAAUACGUUCCCGGGUCUUGUACACACCGCCCAUCACACCAUGGGAGUGGGUUUACCAGAAGUAGUUAGCCUAACCGUAAGGAGGGCGAUUACCACGGUAGAUUCAUGACUGGGUGUAGUCGUAACAAGGUAG